rnacentral:rRNA from 1 species
ACGAACGCUGGCGGCGUGCCUAAUGCAUGCAAGUCGUACGCUCGCCCUUCGGGGUGGGCGUGGCGCACGGCUGAGGAACACGUGGGACCUGCCCAGCGGUGGGGGAUAACGCGCCGAAAGGCGUGCUAAUCCCGCAUACGCGCGCAAGCGGAAAGCAGCAAUGCGCCGCUGGAGGGGCCCGCGGCCAUCAGUGGUUGGCGGGGUAACGGCCCACCAAGCCGGUGACGGGUAGCUGGUCUGUGAGGACAACCAGCCAGACUGGGACUGAGACACGGCCCAGACUCCUACGGGAGGCAGCAGCAAGGAAUUUUCGGCAAUGGGGGCAACCCUGACCGAGCAACGCCGCGUGCGGGAUGACGGCCUUCGGGUUGUAAACCGCUUUUCGGGAGACGAUUGUGACGGUACUCCCGGAAUCAGGCUCGGCUAACUCUGUGCCAGCAGCCGCGGUAAGACAGAGGAGCCAAGCGUUGUCCGGAUUGACUGGGCGUAAAGCGUCCGCAGGCGGCUGGGCACGUGGGGUGUGAAAGCGCAACCGCUUAACGGUGCGAUGCCACCUCAUACGGCCCGGCUCGAGCCCGGGAGAGGUCCGUGGAAUUGCCGGUGUAGUGGUGAAAUGCGUAGAGAUCGGCAGGGAACACCAAGGGGGAAACCAGCGGACUGGCCCGGUGCUGACGCUCAUGGACGAAAGCGUGGGGAGCGAACUGGAUUAGAUACCCAGGUAGUCCACGCCGUAAACGAUGGACACUCGAGCCCUGUGGGCGGACUAUGUGCCGCCUGGGGGCCCCAGCUAACGCGAUAAGUGUCCCGCCUGGGAACUACGAGCGCAAAGCUUAAAACUCAAAGGAAUUGACGGGGGCCCGCACAAGCAGCGGAGCGUGUGGUUUAAUUCGACGCAACGCGAAGCACCUCACCCAGGUUUGACAUGCCACUGCAAGCUGGUCAAAGCCAGUCGCCUUCGAGGGUGUGGCACAGGUGCUGCAUGGCUGUCGUCAGCUCGUGUCGUGAGAUGUUGGGUUAAGUCCCGCAACGAGCGCAAACCCCUACGGCCAGUUAUUCGUGUCUGGCCGGACUGCCGUUCUACGGAGGAAGGCGGGGAUGACGUCAAGUCCGCAUGGCCCUUACGCCUGGGGCGACACACACGCUACAAUGCCGGCGACAGUGCGCCGCGACCCGGCAACGGGAAGCAAAUCGCCAAACGCCGGCUCAGUGCAGAUCGGGGGCUGCAACUCGCCCCCGUGAAGGCGGAGUUGCUAGUAACCGCGUAUCAGCCACGGCGCGGUGAAUACGUACCCGGGCCUUGUACACACCGCCCGUCACGUCAUGGGAGUUGGCAAUGCGUGAAGUACCGUGGGCGAACCGCAAGGGCGCAGCGGCCGAGCGCAGGGCCAGCGACUGGGACG